GAUGAACGCUGACAGAAUGCUUAACACAUGCAAGUCUACUUGAUUCUACUUCGGUAGUUGAUGGUGGCGGACGGGUGAGUAACGCGUAAAGAAUCUGCCCUUUAGUUUGGGAUAACCUUUGGAAACGAAGGCUAAUACCGGAUAUUAUGGAGACGUCGCAUGGCGACUCCAUGAAAGCUAUAUGCGCUAGAGGAGGACUUUGCGUCCCAUUAGUUAGUUGGUGAGGUAAUGGCUCACCAAGACCGCGAUGGGUAGCCGGCCUGAGAGGGUGAUCGGCCACAAGGGAACUGAGACACGGUCCUUACUCCUACGGGAGGCAGCAGUGGGGAAUAUUGGACAAUGGGCCACAAGCCUGAUCCAGCAAUUCUGUGUGCACGAUGAAGGUCUUCGGAUUGUAAAGUGCUUUCAGUAGGGAAGAAAAAAAUGACGGUACCUACAGAAGAAGCGACGGCUAAAUAUGUGCCAGCAGCCGCCGCCG
rnacentral:rRNA from 1 species